GACGAACGCUGGCGGCAUGCCUAACACAUGCAAGUCCAGGGGUAGCAAUACCACUGGCGCACGGGUGAGUAACACGUAGGUUAUCUGCCCCCAUCACAGACAUAACCCCGGGAAACCGGGGCUAAUAUCUGAUGAGGUCGCGAGAUCAAAGCUUCGGCGGAUGGGGAUGAGCCUGCGGCUGAUUAGCUAGUUGGUGAGGUAAUGGCUCACCAAGGCGACGAUCAGUAGCUGGUCUGAGAGGACGAACAGCCACACUGGAACUGAGACACGGUCCAGACUCCUACGGGAGGCAGCAGUGAGGAAUAUUGGUCAAUGGGAGCAAUCCUGAACCAGCAAUGCCGCGUGUGGGAUGACAGGGCUUCGCCUUGUAAACCACUGUCGGACGGGACGAAAAGGAGGCCUCGGGCCUCUGGGACGGUACCGUCAAAGGAAGGGUCGGCUAACUACGUGCCAGCAGCCGCGGUAA
rnacentral:rRNA from 1 species